rnacentral:tRNA from 1 species
GCGUCGCGAGCAUGACUGGAAAUGCAGCAGACUCUUAAUCUGCGAGAUCGGGGUUCGAGUCCCCGGCGACGUA